rnacentral:rRNA from 1 species
CCUACGGGAGGCAGCAGUGAGGAAUAUUGGUCAAUGGACGAGAGUCUGAACCAGCCAAGUAGCGUGAAGGAUGACUGCCCUAUGGGUUGUAAACUUCUUUUAUAUGGGAAUAAAAUGUUCCACGUGUGGGAUUUUGUAUGUACCAUAUGAAUAAGGAUCGGCUAACUCCGUGCCAGCAGCCGCGGUAAUACGGAGGAUCCGAGCGUUAUCCGGAUUUAUUGGGUGUAAAGGGAGCGUAGGCGGAUUGUUAAGUCAGUUGUGAAAGUUUGCGGCUCAACCGUAAAAUUGCAGUUGAAACUGGCAGUCUUGAGUACAGGAGAGGUGGGCGGAAUUCGUGGUGUAGCGGUGAAAUGCUUAGAUAUCACGAAGAACUCCGAUUGCGAAGGCAGUUCACUGGACUGCAACUGACACUGAGGCUCGAAAGUGUGGGUAUCAAACAGGAUUAGAUACCCUUGUAGUC